rnacentral:rRNA from 1 species
AGUAAGCUUUGAUCCAGAGAUUUCCGAAUGGGGAAACCCAGCAUGAGUUAUGUCAUGUUAUCGAUAUGUGAAUACAUAGCAUAUCAGAAGGCACACCCGGAGAACUGAAACAUCUUAGUACCCGGAGGAAGAGAAAGAAAAUUCGAUUCCCUUAGUAGCGGCGAGCGAAACGGGAAGAGCCCAAACCAACAAGCUUGCUUGUUGGGGUUGUAGGACACUCUAUACGGAGUUACAAAGGACGACAUUAGACGAAUCAUCUGGAAAGAUGAAUCAAAGAAGGUAAUAAUCCUGUAGUCGA